AUGCCUCUCCUCUUUCUUUCCCUCUGUCCAGCUCCCCAUCUCUCUGUCUGGGUCUGCAGCCUUCUCUUCCGCUCCCCAUCCCUCUCUGCCACUCCCUGUUCCUCUGUCCAGCUUUUCAUCCUUCUCUUUCUCUCCCCAUUGCUCUGUCUGGCCCCCUGUCCAUCUUUUACUUUUUUCCAUCCCUCUGUCCAUCCGUACUUCCCUCUGUCUACUUCCCCAGCCCUCUUUUCACAUCCUCUGCUCCCCAUUCCUCUGACUGGCUUCCCAUCACUGUAUCUGGCUCUCCAUCCUCCUGUCUCUCCCUGUCACACUCCCCAGCCUGCUGUCCCUCUGCUUCUUUCACCAUCCCUCUGUUGCCUCUCCAUACCUCUCUUUCCCUUUCCUUCUCUCUCUCCACAUCUCCAGUCUUUUACUUCUUUUUCCAUCCCUCUCUUCUGUUGCCCAUCCCUUUGUCUGCCUCUGCCUCCCUCUCUUUUCCUUUCCAUCUCUCUAUCCACCUUCCCAUCCUUCUCUUCCGCUCCCUGCCCCUCUGUCCCAUUUCCAUCCUUUUCUUUCACUCCCUGUCACUCUGUCUCUCUCCCUGUCCAUCUGUUUGUCUCCCCAUCCCUCUCUCUACUUCUUUCUUUUUCCUUUCCAUCCCUCUGUCUCUCCAUCCUUCUAGCUCCCCGUUCUCCUGUCAAGCUCCGUCUCCCUCUUUUCCUCUAUUUAUUCUUCUGUCCACUUUUACAUCCCUCUUUUUCUCUCCUGCUGUGUCCAGGUCUCCAGCCUUCUCUUUCUUUCUCCAUCCCUCUGUCAAGCUCUCUAUCCCUCUUUUCCUUUCUUCUGCUCCCCCUCCCUUUGUCUGGCUCCUUGCCCCUCUGUGCACCUGAAGGUCUGUCAUUCCUUGUGUUUUGUCUGGUUUUGCAGGUGCCAAGAGGUGGUUGGCGCUCAUCAGAGGUGAUCAGCAGCGCCCAGAGGGUCCCUUCGAUCUGCCUGGUUCGGGUCAUGUCAGACACCUCUGCAUGCCGAAGCCCGGGGCUGUGGAUGUGCAGGCGGGGAGCACAAAUGGGCCAGAGACACUGCUGGGGAUGUGGCUGA
rnacentral:lncRNA from 1 species